UACAGAGGGUGCGAGCGUUGAUCGGAAUUACUGGGCGUAAAGGGCGCGUAGGCGGUGAGGUAUGUGUGGUGUGAAAGCCCCGGGCUUAACCUGGGAAGUGCAUCGCAAACUAUCUGACUGGAGUAUAUGAGAGGGUGGCGGAAUUUCCGGUGUAGCGGUGAAAUGCGUAGAGAUCGGAAGGAACGUCAAUGGCGAAGGCAGCCACCUGGCAUAAUACUGACGCUCAUGCACGAAAGCGUGGGGAGCAAACAGG
rnacentral:rRNA from 1 species